ACACUUGGUCACGUGACACAGCAGACUUCAGUGCAGUAUUCCUUGCACUGAAGAUUCGGCGUUUCAUUGCAUCUUUGUCUACGGCUUUAAUUCAGUAAGGGAUUUGAUAUAAUUUGGAAGUGGUCGAUCUGGGUUCACCUACAGACGACUGAGAGGGCGAAAUCAUUCGACCGCAUCGACACCCUCAAUCCAGGCAGGUGAGAACAACAGGCUGGCCAUAAGAGGUGGAAAUUUGCCAGCAUAGAUCAGAGGACGUCUCAGUAGAAGUGGCCACACAGGGAGGACUGGACUGAUGCCAUAGUUUGUUUGUUUUUUUCUAUGAUCCAUGUUUGAAUUGUGAAUGGUGAAGCCCCGCUGACAAGCAGCCAGAGCUCUUUCUAAUCAAGAGAAAGACGGGAGGCAAAGAUUUAAGAGAUCCAAAGGCUACAGUGGUAAAUAAUAAUAGAACCCAAGCGGCAGAGUUGUGGUAGGAGUGAGAAAACAGUGAUUAGUUCAAGUUGAUAAAUUAAGGUAGGUUGCAACUGAAUGUAGGAUGGACCAAUGCCCUUGUGAUUAUU